rnacentral:rRNA from 1 species
CAACCUGCCGAUGACUCGGGGAUAGCCUUUCNAAAGAAAGAUUAAUACCCGAUGGCAUAGUUCUUCCGCAUGGUGGAACUAUUAAAGAAUUUCGGUCAUCNAUGGGGAUGCGUUCCAUUAGGUUGUUGGCGGGGUAACGGCCCACCAAGCCUUCNAUGGAUAGGGGUUCUGAGAGGAAGGUCCCCCACAUUGGAACUGAGACACGGUCCAAACUCCUACGGGAGGCAGCAGUGAGGAAUAUUGGUCAAUGGACGAGAGUCUGAACCAGCCAAGUAGCGUGAAAGAUGACCGCCCUAUGGGUUGUAAACUUCUUUUAUACGGGAAUAAAGUGAGGCACGUGUGCCUUUUUGUAUGUACCGUAUGAAUAAGGAUCGGCUAACUCCGUGCCAGCAGCCGCGGUAAUACGGAGGAUCCGAGCGUUAUCCGGAUUUAUUGGGUUUAAAGGGAGCGUAGGCGGACGCUUAAGUCAGUUGUGAAAGUUUGCGGCUCAACCGUAAAAUUGCAGUUGAUACUGGGUGUCUUGAGUACNGUAGAGGCAGGCGGAAUUCGUGGUGUAGCGGUGAAAUGCUUAGAUAUCNCGAAGAACNNNNNAUUG